AGUCACUGACAUUAGAUACCCCUGUAGUCCAGGGUGUAAACGCUGCAGACUUGGUGUUGGAAGCCCUUUGGGGGCAUUCAGUGCCGGAGAGAAGUUGUUAAGUCUGCUACUUGGGGAGUACGUCCGCAAGGAUGAAACUUAAAGGAAUUGGCGGGGGAGCACCGCAACGGGAGGAGCGUGCGGUUUAAUUGGAUUCAACACCGUAAAACUCACCAGGGAAGACUGUUACAUGAAAGCCGAGAUGAAGACUCUGCUAGAUUUUCAG
rnacentral:rRNA from 1 species